AUUAACUUGCAUGUGGAUAAGUGGAUUGCAUUCGAUUCAUCUUCAAAAUGGCCACGAAACUGUAUGUAGCUAAUUUGCCGCCGAAUUGCACCGAAUCUACCUUACAUGGUCUGUUUUCAGCAUUUGGAUUAGUUACAGAACUUGACAUCAUAAAAAAUUAUGCCUUUGUGCACAUGGCAGCAAGCGAAGGAGCGCAGAAGGCGGUGGCAGAGUAUAACAACAUGAACUUGAAUGGGAACGUCAUCACUGUGCAGUUUUCGAAAAUUCAAAAUGUGAACCGAGGAAAUAAAUUUACUGUGAAGUAUGAUCGACCAGAUCGCCUUGGCAGGGGUGUAGGUGGUAACUUUAAUCGAGGGGGAUUUCGCGGGGGAGGUAGAGGUGGGAUGCCUGGAGACAUUGGACAUGGACCAGAUUUUAGGGGUCGUGGGGGAUUUCGUGGAGGCAGAGGUGGUGGUGAUCAUCUUCAUAGAGGGAAGCCAUAUGACAGGAAUCCAGGCCUUAGUCAUGGUCAGAUGGGUAUGGGUAGUAACAGUAACAAUUUGCAGCCCAUUCGCCCUGUAGGAUCAGAUGUAGGAGUGGCACAAAAUUCAAAUCCUCCAGCAAAAUUUAUUCCACCACAGCAGCAAAUACCAACACAACAAAUACAGCGAGUGCCAGUGCUGCCAACUGUGCAGCAGACAAUGCAUGUUCAGCACAUGCAUCAUGUGCCAGUGGCAGCAGUUUCCCCACAAGUGCCACAGAAUCAUGUUGCAAAUACCAACCAGCAAAUGCUGCACCAUGCCGGGUUCCAGCCAGUACAGACCUUUGGUGAAAUGCAGCCUCAUGCACAAGCAAUGGCUCCUCAAAUGCAUGGAGCAAUGCAACAGCAACUUGUGACAGCAGUUGGCCAGCCAGUUUCAAAUGUCCAGCCAGUUAUGCAUAGCAAUGUGCAGCCUGCUGGAAUUGCUCCCCAACAGGGUUAUACUGUUUAUGAGAGGUAUGUUGACUACAGGAAUCCCCAGACUGGUGAAAUCACUGGUGUAGUAUCAAGUCAUCAAUUGCCACACGCAGGCCAGGCAGUGGGACAAAUUUACCAAACUGCUGCACAAUCAGUUAACAAAGACCCUUACGCCAAUGCACAAAUGAUGUAUGAAAGACAAGCUGGUGCCACUUCAAGAGCUGCUGUGUAUGCAAAUGCCUAUUACGGUAGCAGUCCGGCUACAACAAUGGUUUCUGGUGCAAAUGCAGUACAUCAGAUGCAGGUUGUAGCCCCUGGCAACAUUAUGCAACCAGUUCAGCUACAUUAUCAGUGAUGCUAUUAUUGCUUGGAGAUUUUCUCCUAUCUAAAAUCUUGCAUCAAAAAGGACAAAGAAUAUUUCUUUGGAUUGUCGCUAAGAAGAAGACGAAUUGUUUCUAACAAAAGUACAUAGUAUGCAGCCAAGUAUAGAAUGAAAAAGAAACACGGCAGUUGACACAUAUCACGGGAAAAGCUGCCAUGGGAAUUGGAUAAAAGUUGCUUUAAUUCGGACACAUUAUUAAUUCGUUCGUCCUUCCGUUCGGGUUUCGCUUUUGUUAAGCAAGAAUGUGUGUUUGAAUUGGUUUUAAAAUGUGAUUACAUCUUUCCAGUUCCAAAUCGUCUCAUUCGAUGCAUAUAUAUAUUAUCAUUCUAUAUUUAUUAUUAUUUAUUUUCAUAUUCAUUCAAUGAUGUCUUGAAACAUUAUGCUCGAUUUGAUAAGUAAUUUCUUAUAGAACGUCACAACGGUGAAAUUAUUUCUUUAAAUUCAAUUCUCUUUUUUUAAAUAAAACUUCAGCAAAUACACUUUGUUGAAAGAUCAGAUCAUACUUUGAUGGAAAAGGGCAAGAAAUGAAGGAGAGACUUUAGGACACAACGAUAAGUCCUAUGUUCUAUUAUCUCAAAGACGUUAAUUAAAGAAAUUCGAAAAACAUCUUUCAGUUUGACUGACAACAUGCGAGGAACUCCCAAAGCUUCAAAAAGUCAUUCGAGAAUUAUUGAUCCUAGAUGUCCAUGUAUUCAGGAAGAGACUAUAAAUACAUUUGUGAAGCAAAAGCUUGUACCUAAUGCCAAGGCGAUGCAGGAAACGUAAUCGUCUGUCGAGUGAGAAUGGAAGCAAAUAUAGGCCUAACAGUUUAGCAAUCGUCAGCAACAAGAUGUAUGAAAUUAGCUAAUUGGUUAAACUAUCUAUAAGAUAGACAAAGUUAAAGUACAGAAUGUCACCUUGAUCUUUAUUUAUUAUGUAAAUGUGUAUGAAUUGUUGCAAUUAGAUUUUGAUCUGAUUCAGGGGCGUCACCAACGGAGGGGACGCUUUAUCCCUAACACUUUGUCCUUCGUCACGUAAAGAAUUUUUGCCGGGCAAAAGAAGGAUAUUUUUCUCAACCUUCUUAACAUUUAAUCAAAAAUAAUGUGCGAUGAUAGAUUGAAAUGAAGGACCAAUUACAUGACAAUAAAUUUUACAAUUCACAUGGGUGUAGUACAGACAUCCAACUCUUUCCUUAAUGGCAUUAUUUUUUGCUAAGUGGUUCUUUAAGUCAUAUUUGCUAUUGGCAACAAUCCAUUUUCGCCCAUGAGUUCCUUUUUGCUUUCUCGUAUAUAUGUAUUUUUUAUAUCACCUUUAGAAAAAUCCUUUGAAGUAUCCCACGUACAAAUUAUUAAUAAAGCAAUUUCAAAUGCAUUUGCAGUCCUAUUUGAAUAUUUUUGGAUUACAGUCAUUUCAUCUAUGUCGUUUUUUCUUCGUGGUCAUCUCAAUCCCUUCAACUUCUCUUCCCCCUAAACAUCAUUCUUGUCAUUUUAUUCCAAUACUACCAUGAAAACGAUCCCUUUUAGCUUAUCUUAGAUAAAGCACAACCCGAGUGGGCAUUAUUGCAGCACUCUUCCCUUACUAAUUACAACUUUGUUUAUCGCGACAUAAGCGGGGCCUUACAACCUUCACCCUAGGAACAUCGAGUUAAAUUGAAAGAGGAGCUGUGCACCCUUCUCAUAACUCACCUGAACUUAUCAGAACUUUUUCACCAGACAGACUAUGUGUAAAAAUCUAUUUCAAUUUUUACAAAUCUAAACAUUUUGAUUUAGGCUGUUUUAAGAAA